GGGUGAGUAAUAUAUCGGAACGUGCCCAGUCGUGGGGGAUAACGCAGCGAAAGCUGUGCUAAUACCGCAUACGAUCUCUGGAUGAAAGCGGGGGACUCGCAAGAGCCUCGCGCGAUUGGAGCGGCCGAUAUCAGAUUAGCUAGUUGGCGGGGUAAAAGCCCACCAAGGCGACGAUCUGUAGCUGGUCUGAGAGGACGACCAGCCACAUUGGAACUGAGACACGGUCCAGACUCCUACGGGAGGCAGCAGUGGGGAAUUUUGGACAAUGGGCGAAAGCCUGAUCCAGCAAUGCCGCGUGCAGGAUGAAGGCCUUCGGGUUGUAAACUGCUUUUGUACGGAACGAAACGGUCUGCCUUAAUACGGUGGGCUAAUGACGGUACCGUAAGAAUAAGCACCGGCUAACUACGUGCCAGCAGCCGCGGUAAUACGUAGGGUGCGAGCGUUAAUCGGAAUUACUGGGCGUAAAGCGUGCGCAGGCGGUUAUAUAAGACAGAUGUGAAAUCCCCGGGCUCAACCUGGGACCUGCAUUUGUGACUGCAUCGCUAGAGUACGGUAGAGGGGGAUGGAAUUCCGCGUGUAGCAGUGAAAUGCGUAGAUAUGCGGAGGAACACCGAUGGCGAAGGCAAUCCCCUGGACCUGUACUGACGC
rnacentral:rRNA from 1 species